rnacentral:lncRNA from 1 species
GGCGGGGCGGUGGGAGGGAGAUCCGGGCUGGGCGGAGGAGGUGAAGGCGGGGUUGCUGAGCUGAGAGGGAUGGCGGCGCCGCCCAAUGGAGGCGUGGGUGGAGGGGCCAGCGUUCUGUCCACCCUCGGCACCCGCCCGCCCGGAUGCACAGGCCCGUGCUCAGGGCCCCAAAACUCUCCCCCGAGGCGAGAAAGAGAUAUGUUCCUGGAACCAGAAGGAAUGAAAGGACUGGGAUUGGUCUCCAUGGCAACUGGAAGAAAGAGGUGGGUUAUAAAUCCUUUGCCACCCUCCAGUAGUGAAGGAGGAGGUGUGGGAGCUAGGAAGUAGGAUUGGCUUUUGGAAGGAGAAUCUGGACACCCUUUUUGUGCGGUGCCCUGGAGGACAUAGAAGAAUUUGGUAGCCACCUUGGAGCCUAGGCUGUUGGAGGUUUUGUUUGGUUGGGCUUUUGUUUUUUAAAUCAUCUUACCUUCUUUGCGGGGUCAAGAUCAUGGUCACUUCUAGCCCUGAGGUACUGACCUGAGAUUUCAAAGGCCCAUCCAAGCGUCUCUUCUCCCAUUGUUACCCAUGCCUGAAGUGAUCCAUGGUUCUGUACAGGCAUGGCACUCCCUCAUUCCAUCAAGUUUUAAUAGGAUUGUGGGUUUAUCUUGCUUGUUAAUUAUUUCAUAAGUGCCUCCACUGAGAAACUUAAUGUCCCUUAUUUUAUUCAUCUUUUCUAUAAUGAUGGCUAGUAGCAGACUGAAUAAGAAGAUGGGCUUCUCUCUUGUUUUUUAUUCUUUAUUUUAUUUUUUUGCUUUUUAGGGCCACACCCGCAGCAUAUGGAGGUUCCCAGGCUAGGGGUCAAAUCGGAGCUGUAGCCGCCCGCGUACACCACAGCCACAGCAACCUCAGAUCCCAGCCUCAUCUGCCACCUACACCACAGCUCAUGACAACACCAGAUCCUUAACCCACUGAGCAAGACCAGGGAUCGAACCUGGAACCUCAUGGUUCCUAGUCUGAGUCAUUUCCAGUGUGCCACGAUGGGAACUCCAAGCUUCUCUCUUGAAUAAAAUUACCAUGCUUACCCAAAACUAGCUCCCUUCACUGUAGGAAUAACACUGGAAACCUUAUUUCCUAACUCUGGAAAUUCCAGCUCCUGCAGGAAGCCACACCAGGUGGAUCCUACGAGAACCGAGAAAACCUAUAGCUACUCUUCUAAACCUUAGUGCCCAGCAUUACCUACAUUUCUGCCUCCUCCCACCAAAAAAAAUAUAUAUGUGUAUAUAGUUCACUUUGACUUGAGGGACCUUCCUUCCAAGGCUGAGGUGAGCUAGAUUAUCCUGAAGAAUCAAGAAUCAUCCUCACCUAAGGCUGCCAAGACAAACCCCAACAUCAAAACAGCACUCGACAUGUAUAGCCAUUCUUUUUUACGGUGUGCAGAGUGUCUUUACAUGUCACUUAAAAUUCCCAGCAACAUUCCUGAGAAAUUCACUUCUCAGGCUUGUAAUAACCAAAAGGCACACAUUCAGUGAAAUUUCAGUAAAUCACUGGAAGGCUUUUUCUCCUCUUAAAUACAUGUGUCUUCACUCUCUGGUGUGCACUUGCAGACAGUCUGUGGCUGUCAUUAAAGUUUAUCCACAAUAACAGGUGAAAUAUUGUAAUGGCAGUUAGUCAGGAUGUUUAUAAUCCUAAGUCAAAAAUGCAAAUAAAUUGAGUAAAAGAAACCAGACCUAAACAAUGUAUACUAUAUGAUUCCACUUAAUAUGAAGUUCAACAUUAAAUUAUGUUAGAAAUCAGAAUGCUACAAAAAAAAAAAAAAAGAAGAAGAAAAAGAAGGACUUCCCUUAUGGCUCAUCAUGUUAAGAAUCCCACAUUGUCAUGGCUGUGGCUCUGGUAACAGGUAUGGCACAGAUUUGAUCUCUGGCCCAGGAAUUUCCUCAUGUCCUGGGUGCAGCCAAAAAAAAAAAAAAAAAAAAAAAAAAAAAAAAAAAAAAAAUCAGAAUGCUGGUUACUUUGGUAGGGGAGGGGGAGAGAAUAAUGAUGAGAAGAUGACAAAUAGGCUUCUAGAGAGCUGGUAGUGUUUGGUUUCUUUGGUAUGCGUGGUGGUUAUAUGAGUGUGUUCACUUUCUAACGUUUUGUAGGGUAUUCACUUGAUGCAGUAGAUCUGUGCACUUUUCUGUAUGUGUAUUAUACCGAAGUAGAACUUAAAAUGAAAUUGAAGAUUUUCCUUGGAGCGAAUAAACCCAUGAUUAAGCUUAGAUUUUUUUUUCUUCCAAAAACUGAAAUGAAGAGUUCCUCCUGUGGCGCAGUGGAUUAAUGAUCUGGCUUGUCGCUGCGGAGGGACUAGUUUGAUCCCAGGCCCUGUGCAACAGAUGAAGGAUCCAGCAUUGCUGCAGCUGUGGUGAAGGUCCCAGCUCUGGCUUGGGUUUAGUCCCAGGCCCAGGAACUUCUAUAUGCCACAGGGUGCCUGGGUCGGAGGAGGGUGGGAGAGUGGGGGGAGGCUGAAAUAAAAGGAGCAUUUAGGAGGUUUCCUAGAACAGAAACAGAUUCACAUACAGGGAGAACAGAUUUGUGGUUGCCAAGCGGAAGGGGGAGGGAGUGGGCUGGACUGGGAGUUUGGGGUUAGUAGAUGCAAACUAUGACAUUUAGAAUGGAUGAGCAAUGAGGUCCUGCUGUAUAGCACAGGAACUAUAUCCAAUCACUUGUAAUAGAACGUGAUAGAAGAUAAUAUGACAAAAGGAGUGUAUGUAUAUGUAUAACUGGGUCACUUUGCUGUACAGCAAUAAUUUACAGAACAUUGUAAAUUAUAAUAAAGCAAUUUUUUAAAUAAAAUAUAGUCAUCUUGGUAUGAAAAAAGGUUUCUUUCUCUGUGAUUUUUAUAACAGUUCAUUUUUUGUUGUUUAUUGUUUGUUUGUUUUUUGACUGUACUUAUGGCAUAUGGAAGUUCCUGGGCCAGGGAUCUAAUCCGAGCCACAGCAGUGAGUCAAGCUGCUGCAGUGACAACACUGGAUGCUUAACCCACUGUGUCACAAGAGAAUCCCAAUAAUUGUAUGUUUAUAGGGAGAGCAUUCUUAAGUUAUUUAUCAUUUCGCUCAGUUAUUCACCCUUGGGGAGAAGCCAGUAUUCUGAUGUACACACCAGAAUUAGAAGCCACAGGAGUCAUGGUAAAGUAGUGCUUUAGAAAAACUACCCAAAUUCUAAAGUACUGAAUUGCAAAUUUAGAGCCAUCUCAGCAAAAAAUAUCAUACAAAACACACAUCUGGAGUUCCCAUCUUGGCGCAGUGGUUAACCAAUCCGAC